CUAAGGUAGGAGAGUGGAAAAAUGAGUAGAAAUGCACUCUGUCCCUUUGGUUCUAAGAAGUUAAACAAAAGUGACCACCUUGCUCUUGCUCGGGCUUUUGAAGGGUGGACAGCACAACGAGAAAACCUCGUUACUUAAAACGAUAGAAGAUGGGCAGCUUCUUUUGCUUUGGGUGGUGGUGGAUGUUGAAACAAGGCGAUCUAACAGAGAUUUUGGAGUGUCACUACAAGCCCCCCAUCUGUUAAACCAUUCAUCGCUUGAUCAAGAGUUUUUGCCCCUUACUCUUUUUUUGCUUAGUGAUAUUGUUUAAGUAUUAUUUUGUUCAGAUUAAUUUAUAGUUUAGUGAUAUUGUAUUAAUAUCUUUUAUGUUCUGCAAUGAAGGGAAAAAGCCAAAAAAAACUAUCAUCUAUUGUAACUGUUGCAUUAUGAAUGUGACACAGAAACAAAGA